CCUACGGGGGGCUGCAGUGGGGAAUAUUGGACAAUGGGGGGAACCCUGAUCCAGCCAUGCCGCGUCUGUGAAGAAGGCCCUCGGGUUGUAAAGCACUUUCAGUGAGGAAGAACGCCUGGUGGUUAAUACCCAUCAGGAAAGACAUCACUCACAGAAGAAGCACCGGCUAACUCCGUGCCAGCAGCCGCGGUAAUACGGAGGGUGCGAGCGUUAAUCGGAAUUACUGGGCGUAAAGCGCGCGUAGGUGGCUUGAUAAGCCGGUUGUGAAAGCCCCGGGCUCAACCUGGGAACGGCAUCCGGAACUGUCAAGCUAGAGUGCAGGAGAGGAAGGUAGAAUUCCCGGUGUAGCGGUGAAAUGCGUAGAGAUCGGGAGGAAUACCAGUGGCGAAGGCGGCCUUCUGGACUGACACUGACACUGAGGUGCGAAAGCGUGGGUAGCAAACAGGAUUAGAUACCCGGGUAGUC
rnacentral:rRNA from 1 species